CACCAGCUGCCACUUGACAUCACAAGCAGGAAAUGCAGAAGAAUAAAAGAUGGUACAUGAGCUCCUUGUUACCAUAAUCCUGUUGAACAACAAGCAACUCAUUAAUUGCCAUGAUAAGUGUAUUGAAAUACUACCUGCAACAUGUUACCAAUCCAAUGCCAUUUGACCACAUUCAUCAAAAAAUCAGUUGGUUCUUGUAAGCAUCCUUCN
rnacentral:lncRNA from 1 species